UUCUUUUGGCUGGUAAUAUCCAUUGAUCAGCAUUGUAUAUACAUACAAACCAAGCCAGAAUUUGGUUUGUGCCAAAAAUGAAUUCUCUUUUUUUUUUCGAGGAUUCAUUUUUAAGAAGAUUUCAUCGCUAGUACAUGUAAUUUCAAGAGUUUGCAACAAGAGGAUCACGGAAGUGAACUAAUUGUACGAGGUACAAAAACAACCUUGAGAAGCCCAGGGAUUUGAAGCAGCGGUGCCCCCUCUUUCGCUCCUAAAAGAGGCUGAGUCCAAAGGCGCCGAGUGGCCAAAUGAGGAAGAGACAGACCGAAUCAAGUAGACAUGAAAAUUGACUGCAUUGUUCUCAAACAUUUUAUGUGGCUUAUACCAAUGUCAGUUAAAGGCGGCAGCAUACCCAGCUAGGUGCUCCAGCAGCAUUGUUGUUGUUGUUAUUGGUGGCGCUGGGCCCGUCCCAACCGAUAUGGGCCACAUGUUUCACAUCCGUUGGGAAUCCGAUUUGCAUUUCAGGCUC